rnacentral:tRNA from 1 species
GGGCGUGUGGCGGAAUUGGCAGACGCGCUAGACUUAGGAUCUAGUACCCAAAAGGUGUAAGAGUUCGAGUCUCUUUUCGCCCA